CCUACGGGUGGCAGCAGUGGGGGAUAUUGCACAAUGGGGGGAACCCUGAUGCAGCGACGCCGCGUGGGUGAAGGAGUAUUUCGGUAUGUAAAGCCCUAUCGGCAGGGAAGAAUUUAGACGGUACCUGACUAAGAAGCCCCGGCUAACUACGUGCCAGCAGCCGCGGUAAUACGUAGGGGGCAAGCGUUAUCCGGAUUCACUGGGUGUAAAGGGAGCGUAGACGGCCAGGCAAGCCUGGAGUGAAAGCCCGGGGCCCAACCCCGGGACUGCAUUGGAAACUGUUGAACUGGAGUACAGGAGAGGUAAGCGGAAUUCCUAGUGUAGCGGUGAAAUGCGUAGAUAUUAGGAGGAACACCAGUGGCGAAGGCGGCUUACUGGACUGUAACUGACGUUGAGGCUCGAAAGCGUGGGGAGCAAACAGGAUUAGAUACCCGAGUAGUC
rnacentral:rRNA from 1 species